GUGCCUAAUACAUGCAAGUCGAGCGAGCGGAACCAACAGAUUUACUUCGGUAAUGACGUUGGGAAAGCGAGCGGCGGAUGGGUGAGUAACACGUGGGGAACCUGCCCCUAAGUCUGGGAUACCAUUUGGAAACAGGUGCUAAUACCGGAUAAUAAAGCAGAUCGCAUGAUCAGCUUUUGAAAGGCGGCGUAAGCUGUCGCUAAGGGAUGGCCCCGCGGUGCAUUAGCUAGUUGGUAAGGUAACGGCUUACCAAGGCGACGAUGCAUAGCCGAGUUGAGAGACUGAUCGGCCACAUUGGGACUGAGACACGGCCCAAACUCCUACGGGAGGCAGCAGUAGGGAAUCUUCCACAAUGGACGCAAGUCUGAUGGAGCAACGCCGCGUGAGUGAAGAAGGUUUUCGGAUCGUAAAGCUCUGUUGUUGGUGAAGAAGGAUAGAGGUAGUAACUGGCCUUUAUUUGACGGUAAUCAACCAGAAAGUCACGGCUAACUACGUGCCAGCAGCCGCGGUAAUACGUAGGUGGCAAGCGUUGUCCGGAUUUAUUGGGCGUAAAGCGAGCGCAGGC
rnacentral:rRNA from 1 species